GCAAAUUCAAAUGUGGCCGAAAUAAUUAUUUACACUUUCAUAAAACGUCAUCGUUACGUCAUAUAUUAUUUGACGUCAUUUGACGUCGUAAUUGGGUUGAAGGCUAAAUAGCGCUAUAAAAUUUUAGAAUGGGAGUUUAUUGAUUCUUAUUGAUAAGAUCAUGAAGAUAACAUAGAAUCAUAGUAUGAAACAGGAAAAAAAACACCAUUAUGAACAAAUAGUCAUUGAGCAAUACUGACGAACAAAAAUAUUUGCUAAUACAGUAGUUCAGGGAAAGCUUGUUCGCGACCUAGAAUUCUGAGUGGGUCAAGCGUUUAAUUAAAACUCAUGCGAGAAUAUACGAGAUUUGGUUGAACUGGGGGCAAAGUCAUAUAUGGUACACAUCAAUAUUCGGUGUUUAAUAGGCGCUUUCCCGUUUACCUGUGAAGUCGUUGAGUGUCAUCUGUUUUUGUUUGUUUAUGUUUAUGUGUAAUAAAGUAAAAUAAGUAAUAUUUUGAAAAAUUUCGGGACAUAGUGUUUAAAAAUUACGGGAG
rnacentral:lncRNA from 1 species